rnacentral:lncRNA from 1 species
UUGGUCAGGCUGGUCUCAAUCUCUUGACCUUGUGAUCCGCCCAUCUUGGCCUCCCAAAGUGCUGGGAUUACAGGAGUGAGCCACCGCACCCAGCUCUUCUUUGAGUUUUUAAGGCCACAUAAGCUGUGGAUGUUAUAGAAUUUCUUAUUUCCCUGGGCAGCAACUGGGCCUCUAUUGAGACCCAAAUGCCCUCUUCAGAGGGAACUACGAGGUCAACAAGCACAAUCCCCACAUGUGCAGUGAAGUCUCCAUACGUCCACUCUGGAGGAGGAGAUGACAAGGCAGGGAGGCUGUCAUUUCCUACUUGGGCGGACCCUUCUAGGGGCGGUCUGCUCUGGCCCCUCCGCAAUUCCAGUCAGCAGCCUAGCAUGUCACUCUGGGAGGACCGCAGGAACUAGCAAAUCCAAUAUUCUGCUUACAAAUGGAGAGACGGAGGCCCCAAGAAGAAAGCUAAGAGGUACCAUCAUCAAAGCCAGGGGUCCCCAGGGAAGCAGAGUAACAGGACAUGCGUGGAUAUGGAAGUGGACAUAAGCACGGGAAUGGAUGAAUAUGGAUAUGGAUAUUGAUAUAGAGAGAGGUAUGGAUAUGGACAUGAAUAUGGGUAUAGAUACAGAUAGGAAUAUG